rnacentral:rRNA from 1 species
UACGUAGGUGGCGAGCGUUAUCCGGAAUGAUUGGGCGUAAAGGGUGCGUAGGCGGCCUGCUAAGUCUGGAGUGAAAGGUACCGGCUCAACCGGUACAGGCUCUGGAAACUGGCGGGCUAGAGAGCAGGAGAGGGCGGAAUGCGUGGUGUAGCGGUGAAAUGCAUAGAUAUCACGCAGAACUCCGAUUGCGAAGGCAGCGCACCGGCGCCCUACUGACGCUCAGGCACGAAAGCGUGGGUAUCGAACAGG